rnacentral:rRNA from 1 species
GAAGGGUGCUAGCGUUGCUCGGAAUCACUGGGCGUAAAGCGCGCGUAGGCGGACCUGCAAGUCGGGGGUGAAAGCCCGAGGCUCAACCUCGGAACUGCCUUCGAUACUGCGGGUCUCGAGUCCGGGAGAGGUGAGUGGAAUUCCUAGUGUAGAGGUGAAAUUCGUAGAUAUUAGGAAGAACACCAGUGGCGAAGGCGGCUCUCUGGCCCGGUUCUGACGCUGAGGCGCGAAAGCGUGGGGAGCAAACAGG